rnacentral:rRNA from 1 species
GUGCCAGCAGCCGCGAUAAUUCCAGCUCCAAUAGCGUAUAUUAAAGCUGUUGUGGUUAAAAAGCUCGUAGUUGAACCUUGGGCCUGGCUGGCCGGUCCGCCUCACCGCGUGCACUGGUCCGGCCGGGCCUUUCCCUCUGUGGAACCCCAUACCCUUCACUGGGCGUGGCGGGGAAACAGGAUAUUUACUUUGAAAAAAUUAGAGUGCUCCAGGCAGGCCUAUGCUCGAAUACAUUAGCAUGGAAUAAUAAAAUAGGACGCGCGGUUUUAUUUUGUUGGUUUAUAGGACCGCCGUAAUGAUUAAUAGGGACAGUCGGGGGCAUCAGUAUUCAACUGUCAGAGGUGAAAUUCUUGGAUCAGUUGAAGACUAACUACUGCGAAAGCAUUUGCCAAGGAUGUUUUCAUUAAUCAGGAACGAAAGUUAGGGGAUCGAGGACGAUCAGAUACCGUCGUAGUCUUAACCAUAAACUAUGCCGACUAGGGAUCGGACGGUGUUAUUCAUGACCCGUUCGGCACCUUACGAGAAAUCAAAGUGCUUGGGCUCUCUGGAAAAGAAAAAAACGCAAGGCUGAAACUUAAAGAAAUUGACGGAAGGGCACCACCAGGGGUGAAGCCUGCGGCUUAAUUUGACUCAACACGGGGAAACUCACCAGGUCCAGACACAAUAAAGAAUGACAGAUGAGAGCUCUUUUCUUGAUUUUUGUGGGUGGUGUGCAUGCCCGUCUAAGUGUGGGUGACUUGUCUGCUUAAUAGCGAUAAACGAACGAGAACUAACUAGCUAAAUAGCCCGCAAUGCUCGGCAGUGCGCUGGCUUCUAGAAGGACUUCCGCUCAAGCGAAAGAAGUGAAGCAAUAAACAGGUCUUGAAUGCCCUAAAUUGUCUGGCCGCACGCGCCGCCUAACACUGACGGGGUCAAGCAGAGUC